AGAGUUUGAUCAUGGCUCAGGAUGAACGCUAGCUACAGGCUUAACACAUGCAAGUCGAGGGGCGGCAUGGUCUUAGCUUGCUAAGGCCGAUGGCGACCGGCGCACGGGUGAGUAACACGUAUCCAACCUGCCGUCUACUCUUGGACAGCCUUCUGAAAGGAAGAUUAAUACAAGAUGGCAUCAUGAGUCCGCAUGUUCACAUGAUUAAAGGUAUUCCGGUAGACGAUGGGGAUGCGUUCCAUUAGAUAGUAGGCGGGGUAACGGCCCACCUAGUCUUCGAUGGAUAGGGGUUCUGAGAGGAAGGUCCCCCACAUUGGAACUGAGACACGGUCCAAACUCCUACGAGGCUGCA
rnacentral:rRNA from 1 species